rnacentral:rRNA from 1 species
AUUGAACGCUGGCGGCAUGCUUUACACAUGCAAGUCGAGCGGCAGCGCGGGGGCAACCCUGGCGGCGAGCGGCGGACGGGUGAGUAAUGCAUCGGAACGUAUCCCGUAGUGGGGGACAACCCAGCGAAAGUUGGGCUAAUACCGCAUACGCUCUACGGAGGAAAGUGGGGGACUUCGCAAGGAGCCUCACGCUAGGGGCGCGGCCGAUGUCCGAUUAGCUAGUUGGUGGGGAAUGGCUCACCAAGGCGACGAUCGGUAGCUGGUCUGAGAGGAUGAUCAGCCACACUGGGACUGAGACACGGCCCAGACUCCUACGGGAGGCAGCAGUGGGGAAUUUUUGGACAAUGGGGGCAACCCUGAUCAGCCAUGCCGCGUGAGUGAAGAAGGCC